CAAGGCUUGGAGCAGCCUGGGAUAGUCCCUGCCCAUGGCAGGGGCUGGGACAAGAUGAGCUUUAAGUUCCCUUAGAACUUGGUUGCAGCCAAGGGGAUGGGGCAGCCACAGCUUCUCUGGGUCCCUCUGCUCUGUCCCUCACACAUCAGGUCCUUGUGUCCCACUCAUCCCUACACCACCAAAAGCAGUGUCCAGAGCAGGGCAGUGCAAGGCUGAGCCCAGAGCCAUGAUGAAACACCCUCUUUUCAAGCUGUGAGAAGCUUCCAAAAGGAUCUGGAACUGCAGAGAGAAAAUCAAUGCAAAGACCUGACAGCAUCGCCUGCUUAUUUGUGCCCAAAGUCCCUGUGCUGACAAGGUCUUCCUGCACGGCAGAGCAAGGACCUGCUCUCUCAGAAUCGCUCAGCAUUCCCACAGGAGCCUGCCCAGACAGGCAGAGCCAGGACAGGAACACCUGGGAAAACCUGGCCCUCGCUUUGGCUGCUGGCCUGAGAUGGAACUGUUUGGAAAAGCAGGUCCCCACUGUCCCUGCUGUGCUUCUGGAGAGGCAUCAGCCAUCCCUGGACUGGCAUAAGCAAGUGCAAAACUAAAAAAGCACUGAGAUGUGUUCCUUAGACUUUUCCCAGCAAGGUCUGGCACCCAGACUGCCGGGCUGUGCAGGAUGCAGGAGCAGCAUUAGGAUUGCAACACCUGCGUGGCUCAGGCUCCAUCCCAGCCCGGCAGCAACUUCCACCACGAGCCUAAAAUUAGCAGCGACAGGAAGAGCUCUGGAGCACGACAGGAUGAUUAGAGCCUCCCUGGAAAGGAGGCAUCACCUGCAACGUAAUGACUUUCCUCAUCUCUGUCAAAAUGUGCAACAACCCUUGUGGAAUAUGAUGGGCAAAAGUGAGGCAGUGAGAUAGGGGAAGGUGCUUCUGCACAAAAUUGGAGUGAUAGCACUUGUCCAGAAAUAAAAAACAGGAUGCUGGCUCUCUGGACUACGCCCUGGACCUGCUGCAUGGCUUCAAUCAAAUUGCUUAGAAAGACACAAAAGACUUAAGGAUCGUGCAUGCCAACUCCACCCGAGAUUUAUAAACAGCAAGAAAACACCCAGAUAAAAGAUCUCCUGGACAGAAAUAUGUGCCCAUGCGCUGCACAGCUUGACAAGGAACGUGCAGCGAAUCCAACACAUCCUGGACGUGUUGGAUUUGCUGGGCACACAUGGACCAUCUGGCCAACACAUGGGCCUCGGGUUUGACAUGUCCAGGAAGCGUCUGACUGAUGGUGGACGCACCAGGCAGCACAUGCAGGACCCCAGCCCCGCUGUCACUGCGGUGGAGGUGGGUGUGAUGCUCACGGAGCUGAUCUGUGGCUGUGCCAGCAUUCCUGGGCUGAUUUCUGGAGAUUCAGACACAGGUAAGUGCCAAAAUCUCAACGUGCCCCUGGACAAAAUUCAAAAGAGGACGUACCCGAGGAAACACGUGGUGAUUCUGAUGUUCUAUAAAUUGAAAUUGGGAAUUAUCUGCUUGCAGAGGAUGGGAUUCCAACGGGAGGAAAACGUGUUCCUUGGAAAAUUAGCAGAAUAUAUAAGCAGCAGGAAUAAGGGGAGAGUGUGACCUUGAAACUGAACACCCCCUUUUGAUCCCAGAUCUAAAAUUAUCCAGAUUUCAGUAGAAGUUUCUACAGCAGUCUUAGUUCAGUUUUUAAAAACAAACCCCUCGUGACUAGAAGUCCAGACCCUCCAUGUUUCGAACACAACCAAGUCUGCCAAGGGUGCAGCACCCGAUCCCAGCGCCAGAUUGUCCCUGUAGCUUAGCACCCAUCUGCAGCCAAUAUGCUGAGCUCUUAACAGAAUUGAGGGGUUUUAAAACCUGGUCUUCUGGGCCUGAUCCCAUGGACCUGGGCUCACCAAAACCAAUGGACUUCAAGGAGCUUUGGAUCAAGCUUUGUGCUAAUUUACUUAUCUCAUAGAACAGCUUAAUUAACAAAUGUUUGCAAAGCACUUCGGGAUCCUUCCACGGACAGUGAGACUCCUCUUGCUGCCAGUCCCACUGACAAAGCAAAGAGGUUUAAAGUCAACAGGCAGCAGAUGAAUUGUAUGGACACAGAUGGGGAUGGAGGGACAUCUCGGAUGGGUCGGCCACCACGGAGUCCCCCCUGAACCUUGUGGUACAGGGAAUGGCCAGCAUGUGGGCUCAGAGUGAAAGGGAGCCCUUACAGCUUCCCAGCAUUUGGGAUGCUUCUAUUUCAUGUGCAGCUGAGCUGUUCUUGAAAUGAUCUGUGCAGGGACAGGAGAUGAAGUCUCAAAGCACUCGUGGCAAUGGUAUCCCAGCUUGAGCUUUCUACCUUGGGAUAGUCUAUGAUUCUGUGCAAGAAGAAAAUGAAGAAAAGCCUAAAAAAGGUGUCCUGGUUCCAAGCAGGUGUUUGCUCCCCCUGUCCUCCCCACCACCAGCUCAUCCCCUCAGUCUAUGGGAUGUGGGAUGCUUCCACAGCAUCAAACCUUUCCCAGCAGCUGCCACCUUUCCUCCAGACUUGGGUCAUGUCGGUGGCAAAGGGAUGCAGCACUGGGAAGUGCCAAAUUCGGCUUCACACUGAUGACACAAAUUCAUCCAGAAAGUUUCUCUCUGCGUUAGCUCUUGAUGGUGACUCUAAGUCGCUGUUUUGCCUAAGGACAGGCUGCUGGCACCUCCUCAGUCAAUGUCAGCUUUAUUCCUGCCUCCCACAGAACUUUCUGUCACCAGCCGUGGUGCCCGGCCACCCCUCCCCGAUGGCUCUGGCACCGGCAGCAGCUGCAGUUUGCAGUUUUUCCCUUUUCUUUGAUCGUUCUGCAGCCUCGGGAAGGGGCAUGUGAUGCCGCUGCCUGAUCCGGACCUCUCUGCUCCGAGGGCUCUGCCACCGUCCCUGCCUUUAAUUAAUACUUUUUUCCCCCCCUGACAGUAAUUCGGGGAUGUGGACUCUAAAACAUUUGGAAAUACCCACUUUUUAACUAGAAACACUGCGUUUCUGCCAAAACCUCGCAGGGGUGCUCACUGAGUGGAUAUAGCUGUGCAGAGACUACACCCAUGGUGAAAUCCUCACUUGCAAUGCAGCACUACCUGCCCCCCAAAAAUAACCUUUUACCUCUCUAUCCAAGGAGCUGGGAAUGAUCCAGCCCUCAACAGCUCCGUGAUGUGAGCCCCUCUGACCUACUCCAGCUCGUGGAGCUGGCUCAGGCCACCUGGCAGAGCUAACUUUAACCUGAAUUACUCCUGAAAUCCAGCUUCCCCAGAGGCAGCGAUGCCAGACGGGAGGUAAGAUCAUUCCCAAGCAGCUGCUAUCACUGGGAAGAGGAUCAAAGUCUUGGUUGUAGCCCAGCUACGCCCCCAAAAUAUUGUAUGAACUGAGAGAUGCUGCUAUCAGGGACCCAUCAGGAUUAGUCACUGCCCAUGUUGCCAAUUCCUGUGUUUUUUCUAGGAGCGUUUCUGGUUGCCUUAAAUUCCCAGCUCUGUGAGUCAUGUGAAUCUGUGUGAGUAUAAAUUUUUGGUUUUUUAAAGUAAGUUUCUAGACCUUGUGGCUGUGCAGAAUAGCAAGGUGAUGUAACCAGAGUGAAAUCUGACAGCCCCAGGAGAAGACAAAUGAAAAGGAACUCAACUUUCAAAUUUUUUUUUUUUUUCUUUGCGUCACACAAACUUUUUAGUCAGUUUGGUGAUUUCAGGGUCUGGCUCACGCUGCUGGAACACUCAGAGCUGGAUGUCCACAGUUUUUCCCUUUUUUCCUUUCACUUUCUGAUUUCCAGGGAAACUUUCUUCUCCUGAGACCUCCAUGACAGAACUUAAUAUGGAGGUAGAAACAAAACCAUGUCCCUAAAAUGACGUGCUGCCUCCAGAGCAGGCAUUGCUACCAGCCUCAUGCAUGGGAUCCAACCUGGACAAGUGAAAAGUCCAUAAUUUACAGGGCAGAACACCAUAGUUCCCACCAGCAGCACAUGGGCACGCACACAAUCCUCACCCGCACUGGGAGCACCCCUGCAUGGAGACGUGUGUGCACACAAAUGCCUCGGACACAAACACAUGUGGUUUGUGGGCAUGUUUCAAUGUACAUAAUCCUGUGUGUUUGCACCUGUAACACGCACUUACACAGACACACACGUGGGUUUCACCUGGUUGUAAAGUGUGGAGUGAGCCACAGCCAGCAGGUGUGUGCAAGGGAACCAGCAGCGUGUGUGUGAGCCUCCAGGUGCAUUAAAUGCACAUUUUUGGCCAUUUAAUGGGGCACACCCAGCCGUGUACCUGUGGUAAAACUUGCCAUGGGAUGUGUGUGUGCACCCUAUGGAGCCACCAUCCAUCACAUCCCAAUACAAAGAGACAACUCUUAGAAGAAGGAAUAUCCCAAACUGCCACGAAAGGAAACAUCCCAAACUGCCACUCUCAGGAGUCCCAUCACUACACAACGGUGCAAAAGGAAAUAAAACCUAAUCAGGACACUGUUCUACA